CCUAGAGUUUGUAGGCUUUUGCCUGCUAUCUCUUACCCAUGUUCUUUUGAGUACCUUCGUUUCCUCGGCGGGUCCCCGCCCCGCCGAUUGGACAAUUUAAACCAUUUGCAGUUGCAAUCAGCGUCCUGAAAAAAACUUAAUAGUUAC
rnacentral:misc_RNA from 1 species